rnacentral:rRNA from 1 species
UGGGGAAUUUUGCGCAAUGGGCGAAAGCCUGACGCAGCAACGCCGCGUGCGGGAAGAAGGCCCUCGGGUUGUAAACCGCUUUCAGCAGGACGAAAUUGACGGUACCUGCAGAAGAAGCCCGGCCAACUACGUGCCAGCAGCCGCGGUAAUACGUAGGGCGCAAGCGUUGUCCGGAAUUAUUGGGCGUAAAGAGCUCGUAGGCGGCUUGUCACGUCGGUUGUGAAAGCCCGGGGCUUAACCCCGGGUCUGCAGUCGAUACGGGCAGGCUAGAGUUCGGUAGGGGAGAUCGGAAUUCCUGGUGUAGCGGUGAAAUGCGCAGAUAUCAGGAGGAACACCGGUGGCGAAGGCGGAUCUCUGGGCCGAUACUGACGCUGAGGAGCGAAAGCGUGGGGAGCGAACAGGAUUAGAUACC